AAGUCGUAGCAAGGUUUCCGUAGGUGAACCUGCGGAAGAAUCAUUAACACGUAUCCAACGCAAAAAACACCCCUGUGAACAUUCAAACCUACUCUCGUGGCCCAGUGCGUCUAGCAAUUCCGUAAAUCAUUGUCGAACAGUAUUGAUUCGGGACUUCUGACAAAUGAGAAGUUACAGUUACGAUCGAGCGGAGAUAGCUGCAUGGCAUUCCCAGCAAUCAGUGGCAUUGAUUGUCGAUGGGGAUCUCACCUCAACCAUUGCCGAGAGUCGCUCACCGACCGGCAGACAUGCACCCGGGUCCACGUCCCUUUAUAACCCCAUUACCUCUGUGAGUCUACGGGAAACGCUCAAAAAACUCGAACAACUUAGCAUUAAGCGUUAGCAUUGGAUAUCUGAGUUCUC
rnacentral:misc_RNA from 1 species